rnacentral:rRNA from 1 species
GAUGAACGCUGGCGGCGUGCCUAAUACAUGCCAGUCGAGCGAACAGACGAGGAGCUUGCUCCUCUGACGUUAGCGGCGGACGGGUGAGUAACACGUGGAUAACCUACCUAUAAGACUGGGAUAACUUCGGGAAACCGGAGCUAAUACCGGAUAAUAUAUUGAACCGCAUGGUUCAAUAGUGAAAGACGGUUUUGCUGUCACUUAUAGAUGGAUCCGCGCCGCAUUAGCUAGUUGGUAAGGUAACGGCUUACCAAGGCAACGAUGCGUAGCCGACCUGAGAGGGUGAUCGGCCACACUGGAACUGAGACAGGGUCCAGACUCCUACGGGAGGCAGCAGUAGGGAAUCUUCCGCAAUGGGCGAAAGCCUGACGGAGCAACGCCGCGUGAGUGAUGAAGGUCUUCGGAUCGUAAAACUCUGUUAUUAGGGAAGAACAAAUGUGUAAGUAACUAUGCACGUCUUGACGGUACCUAAUCAGAAAGCCACGGCUAACUACGUG